rnacentral:rRNA from 1 species
CCUACGGGCGGCAGCAGUAGGGAAUGUUCGGCAAUGGGGGGAACCCUGACCGAGCAACGCCGCGUGAAAGAAGAAGUUAUUCGGAAUGUAAAGUUCUUUUAACAGGGAAGAAAGAGAAAUUGAACGGUACCUGAAGAAUAAGCCCCGGCUAACCACGUGCCAGAAGCCGCGGCAAUACGUAGGGAGCGAGCGUUAUCCCGAAUGAUUGGGCGAAAGGGGUGGGUAGCGGGAAUAGUAAGUCUGUUGUAAAAGUGCUGGGCUCAACCCAGUAGGGCAAAGGAUACUGUAAAGCUAGAGUAUGGCAGAGGCAAGUGGAACUACUUGUGUAGCGGUCAAAUGCGUAGAUAUAUGUAAGAACCCCAGUGGCGAAGGCGGCUUGCUGGGUCGAUACUGACGUUGAGGCACGAAAGCGUGGGGAGCAAACAGGAUUAGAUACCCUUGUAGUC